rnacentral:rRNA from 1 species
UACGGGAGGCAGCAGGUGGGGAAUAUUGCACAAUGGGCGAAAGCCUGAUGCAGCUAUGCCGCGUGUAUGAAGAAGGCCUUAGGGUUGUAAAGUACUUUCAUCGGGGAAGGAAAAACAAAACUAAUAAUUUUAUUUCUUGACGUUACCCGAAAAAGAAGCACCGGCUAACUCCGUGCCAGCAGCCGCGGUAAUACGGAGGGUGCUAGCGUUAAUCAGAAUUACUGGGCGUAAAGAGCACGUAGGUGGUUUUUUUAAGUCAGAUGUGAAAUCCCUGGGCUUAACCUAGGAACUGCAUUUUGAAACUGAAAUACUAGAGUAUCGUAGAGGGAGGUAGAAUUCUAGGUGUAGCGGUGAAAUGCGUAGAUAUCUGGAGGAAUACCUGUGGCGAAAGCGGCCUCCUAAACCGAAUACUGACACUGAGGUGCGAAAGCGUGGGGAGCAAACAGGAUUAGAUACC